UUGUCCAAAAGGCGUCACUGUGCUGCGUUCUGUGGCACAGCUGAAAGCACUAUGGUCAAAGGAACUUCCUAAAGAUGACCUAGAGGCAUUUGUCUGA
rnacentral:snoRNA from 1 species